AAUGAACGCUGGCGGCGUGCCUAAUACAUGCAAGUCGAGCGAACAGACGAGGAGCUUGCUCCUCUGACGUUAGCGGCGGACGGGUGAGUAACACGUGGAUAACCUACCUAUAAGACUGGGAUAACUUCGGGAAACCGGAGCUAAUACCGGAUAAUAUAUUGAACCGCAUGGUUCAAUAGUGAAAGACGGUUUUGCUGUCACUUAUAGAUGGAUCCGCGCCGCAUUAGCUAGUUGGUAAGGUAACGGCUUACCAAGGCAACGAUGCGUAGCCGACCUGAGAGGGUGAUCGACCACGCUGGAACUGAGACACGGUCCAGACUCCUACGGGAGGCAGCAGUAGGGAAUCUUCCGCAAAGGGCGAAAGCCUGACGGAGCAACGCCGCGUGAGUGAUGAAGGUCUUCGGAUCGUAAAACUCUGUUAUUAGGGAAGAACAAAUGUGUAAGUAACUAUGCACGUCUUGACGGUACCUAAUCAGAAAGCCACGGCUAACUACGUG
rnacentral:rRNA from 1 species